rnacentral:misc_RNA from 1 species
GUGAAUCAUCGAAUUUUUGAACGCAAAUUGCACUCUCUUCUGAUAGGAUGGCUGUUUGAGGUUCAGCCUAAAUUAAAUCGUCAUCGUUGCUGUUGCGCGGUGGCGUUCGGCGGAAAGUGGUUUAUCUUAAAUCUUUGGUUUAAGCGACUUAAAAUUUUCUUAACGAUUCUAUGAACGUUUCCUAGUUUUAUUUCUUUACACGUUUAAGGUAUCGAUUUUAUGAGGCGUGGUCUCCAUAUCGGAUCAUGUCC